CAGGCCUGAGACGGCGCAGUCGAGCACCACGAGCAGUCGAGACCCCGCAGCUGCAGGCCGUAGUGGAGGCGACGGCGGCGACGGCGGGGCGGUGCGAGACGACGGCGACGCGACCGACUCCAACCCUACGUCCUUCCCCUUCUUCGUCCUUCUCGCCGAUCUCUCCUCCACCAUUUAGAGUUGGGGAAGGUGAACCUCCGCCUUCUUGGGAUCCAGUACCAACUCCAGAAGUUCUACAAUGAGUCUAUCACUGCGAGAUCGCAUUAGAAAGAGGAGGGAGGAGGAAGAUGAUGACAUGAUGCUAUUUAUUUUCCCUGCCUUAUAUCUUAUGAGUUCUGUUAGAGGGGGAGAAAGGAGGAAACGCCAUACUUCGGAAGAAACAGGCGAGGCACAUGGCUUUGACAGUUCUUAAAAGAUAUUGCUGGGAGCUUGUUGUUUUGCUUCAUACGAUUAAGUGGAGUAUUGGAAGGCUAGAUUACGUUCUUUUUUGAUUUUUGCAUUUAAUGGAGUUUUGAUCUGGUUGAUGUUGCCUUUGGGUAUUUUUGUAAUUUAUAUUUUGGAUCUAGGAAGCAUUUCAAGUUUAAACAUAAUAUUAGCACUUUGAGUC